rnacentral:rRNA from 1 species
ACGUGAGUAACCUGCCCCUGACUCUGGAAUAACCGUGGGAAACGACGGCUAAUACCGGAUAUGAGACGUCCACGCAUGUGAGCGUCUGGAAAGAUUUAUCGGUCUGGGAUGGACUCGCGGCCUAUCAGCUUGUUGGUGGGGUAAUGGCCCACCAAGGCGACGACGGGUAGCCGGCCUGAGAGGGCGACCGGCCACACUGGGACUGAGAUACGGCCCAGACUCCUACGGGAGGCAGCAGUGGGGAAUAUUGCACAAUGGGCGCAAGCUGAUGCAGCGACGCCGCGUGGGGGAUGAAGGCCUUCGGGUUGUAAACCCUUUCAGCAGGGAAGAAGCGAAAGUUACGGUACCUGCAGAAGAAGCGCCGGCUAACUACGUGCCAGCAGCCGCGGUAAUACGUAGGGCGCAAGCGUUGUCCGGAAUUAUUGUUCGUAAAGAGCUCGUAGGCGGUUUGUCGCGUCUGCUGUGAAAACCCGAGGCUCAACCUCGGGCUUGCAGUGGGUACGGGCAGACUAGAGUCCGGUAGGGGUGACUGGAAUUCCUGGUGUAGCGGUGGAAUGCGCAGAUAUCAGGAGGGACACCGAUGGCGAAGGCAAGGUCACUGGGCCGCCACUGACGCUGAGGAGCGAAAGCAUGGGGAGCGAACAGGAUUAGAUACCCUGGGUAGUCCCAUGCCGUAAACGUUGGGCACUAGGUGUGGCGCUCAUUCCACGAGUUCCGUGCCGCAGCAAACGCAUUAAGUGCCCCGCCUGGGGAGUACGGCCGCAAGGCUAAAACUCAAAGGAAUUGACGGGGGCCCGCACAAGCGGCGGAGCAUGCGGAUUAAUUCGAUGCAACGCGAAGAACCUUACCAAGGCUUGACAUACACCGGAAAAGUGCAGAGAUGUGCUCCCCGCAAGGUCGGUGUACAGGUGGUGCAUGGUUGUCGUCAGCUCGUGUCGUGAGAUGUUGGGUUAAGUCCCGCAACGAGCGCAACCCUCGUCCUAUGUUGCCAGCACGUUAUGGUGGGGACUCAUAGGAGACUGCCGGGGUCAACUCGGAGGAAGGUGGGGAUGACGUCAAAUCAUCAUGCCCCUUAUGUCUUGGGCUUCACGCAUGCUACAAUGGCCGGUACAAAGGGCUGCGAUACCGCAAGGUGGAGCGAAUCCCAAAAAGCCGGUCUCAGUUCGGAUUGGGGUCUGCAACUCGACCCCAUGAAGUCGGAGUCGCUAGUAAUCGCAGAUCAGCAACGCUGCGGUGAAUACGUUCCCGGGCCUUGUACACACC